rnacentral:lncRNA from 1 species
AGAUGAAGAAGAGGAAGUAGGAUCCCAUUGACCAACCUACUCUGAAGAGGAGUAAUGAAACAAGCACUAGAUCGGCGGCUCUCCGAUCUUCACCUACCCCAGUUCCAGGAUCCAUAACAAUAAAUACUACCCCAAUCUCCAUGGCACCGUCGGUGGCCAAGACACAACAUCGACAAACUAUCGAUGUGGCUCGUCCACCUCCUAUGGAGGCGACUGUGUGCCCAAGGUAGAGUUUUUCACUAAUGCCUCCUCCCACAUCAUCAAGACCAGCUUAAUCGGUGGAGCAGCAA